AGAGUUUGAUCCUGGCUCAGGACGAACGCUGGCGGCGUGCUUAACACAUGCAAGUCGAGCGGUAAGGCCUUUCGGGGUACACGAGCGGCGAACGGGUGAGUAACACGUGGGCGACCUGCCCUCAGCUUCGGGAUAAGCCUGGGAAACUGGGUCUAAUACCGGAUAUGACCACAUGUCGCAUGGUGUGUGGUGGAAAGUUUUUUCGGCUGGGGAUGGGCCCGCGGCCUAUCAGCUUGUUGGUGGGGUGAUGGCCUACCAAGGCGACGACGGGUAGCCGGCCUGAGAGGGCGACCGGCCACACUGGGACUGAGAUACGGCCCAGACUCCUACGGGAGGCAGCAGUGGGGAAUAUUGCGCAAUGGGCGGAAGCCUGACGCAGCGACGCCGCGUGGGGGAUGACGGCCUUCGGGUUGUAAACCUCUUUCGACCGGGACGAAGCGUGAGUGACGGUACCGGUAGAAGAAGCACCGGCCAACUACGUGCCAGCAGCCGCGGUAAUACGUAGGGUGCGAGCGUUGUCCGGAAUUAUUGGGCGUAAAGAGCUCGUAGGCGGUGUGUCGCGUCGAUCGUGAAAACGUACAGCUUAACUGUGCGCGUGCGGUCGAUACGGGCAUCACUUGAGUUCGGCAGGGGAGACUGGAAUUCCUGGUGUAGCGGUGAAAUGCGCAGAUAUCAGGAGGAACACCGGUGGCGAAGGCGGGUCUCUGGGCCGAUACUGACGCUGAGGAGCGAAAGCGUGGGGAGCGAACAGGAUUAGAUACCCCGGUAGUCC
rnacentral:rRNA from 1 species